AAGCUCCCCCAAUUGUUUGGUGGAGGAAAGGAGGCCUCUUCAUGAAAGCUUCCGCGAGGGGAUGAGUCCGCGUCCCAUUAGCUAGUUGGUGAGGUAACGGCCCACCAAGGCAACGAUGGGUAGCCGGUCUAAGAGGAUAACCGGCCACACUGGAACUGAAACACGGUCCAGACUCCUACGGGAGGCAGCAGUGGGGAAUAUUGCGCAAUGGACGAAAGUCUGACGCAGCGACGCCGCGUGAGGGAUGAAGGUUUUCGGAUCGUAAACCUCUGUCAGGAGGGAAGAAAGCGCAUGGCGCCAAUCAGCCAUGCGUUGACGGUACCUCCAAAGGAAGCGCCGGCUAACUCCGUGCCAGCAGCCGCGGUAAUACGGAGGGCGCGAGCGUUAAUCGGAAUUACUGGGCGUAAAGCGCGCGUAGGCUGUUGUGUAAGUUGGGGGUGAAAUCCCACGGCUCAACCGUGGAACAGCCCUUGAUACUGCGCGACUUGAAUCCGGGAGAGGGUGGCGGAAUUCCAGGUGUAGGAGUGAAAUCCGUAGAUAUCUGGAGGAACAUCAGUGGCGAAGGCGGCCACCUGGACCGGUAUUGACGCUGAGGCGCGAAAGCGUGGGGAGCAAACAGGAUUAGAUACCCUGGUAGUCCACGCUGUAAACGAUAAAGGGUGGAUGUCGGGGAGUAAUUCCCGAUGUCGAAGCCGAAAAGAUAAGCAUCCCGCGCGGGGAGAGCGGUCGCAAGGAGUAAAAUCAAAGAAAUUGACGGGGGCCCGCACAAGCGGUGGAGUAUGUUGUUUAAUUCUAUGCAACGCGGAGAACCUUACCUGGGUUUGACAUCCGGGGGAUCCUCCAGAGAAGGGGGAGUCCCCUUCGGGGAGCCACGAGACAGGUGGUGCAUGGCUGUCGUCAGCUGGUGUCGUGAGAUGUUGGGUCAAGUCCUGCAGCGAGCGCAACCCCUGAGCAUAGUCGCCAACAGGCAAAGCCGGGCACUCUAUGCGGUCCGCCCGGGUUAACCGGGAGGAAGGUGGGGAAGAUGUCAAGUCAUCAUGUCCCUUGCACCCAGGGCAACACACGUAUUGCAAUGGCGCGCACAAAGGGCAGCGAGCCCGGGGGGGGGAGCGAAUCCCAAAAAACGCGUCCCAGUCCGG
rnacentral:rRNA from 1 species